GCGUCCCGGGGUGGAGUGGGCCUUAAAGGCCAUGGCUGGGCUGGAAGGGCCUCCCUGAGCCCGCUCCUCCAAUGGGCAGCUGCCCCCCACCAGCACCGACGCCACCCGUGGCUCCCAUCUCAUCUGAACGCUGUGAGGCAGAAGUCCCAAACUCUGCAUCUUUGUGCCCAAAAGUGGAUACAGUGAAGGGUGGGCUUCCUCCCCACCUGUCUGUUGGGUUCUGACUGAACACCUCCUGGGUUCCACCUCUCGUCCUUCCCCGGCACAUUUCAGGCACUGCCUGAGAAAUCAUCCGCCUCCCAGUGACUCAGUGACAUCUCCACCCACCAGCUCAGAGCUGCACCCCUGGGAGGAGAACAGCGGAAAAUGUGAAUUCUGACUGGAAUUUCAGGCGUCACCCCGAGGGAAAAGGCAGCGACACGCAGAGCUCUGCUUGCUGCAGUCACCAGAGGGCACACGUCUGCUGCUGUGACACGGAAAUGUUCCCAAAUUGUGCUGUUCUGAGGUGGGUUCCUCAGUGAGACCCCCAAAAUGGGGUACGUGAGGGCAGGGGUCUGUGGGGAUCUGCUCAGAGCGAUGCCAAGCUGAAGGGGAACCCCAAAGCAAAGGGGGAAAAGAGCAAAACCGAAGGGGAAACUGAACCCCCCCUAUAAAAAAGGGAA